rnacentral:rRNA from 1 species
GCUUAACACAUGCAAGUCGAGGGGUAACGACUCCGUCUUCGGAUGGAGGUCGACGACCGGCGCACGGGUGAGUAACGCGUAUGCAACCUACCUUUUACAGGAGGAUAGCCCAGAGAAAUUUGGAUUAAUACUCCAUAGUACUAAUGAAUCACCUGGUUUAUUAGUUAAAACUCCGGUGGUAAAAGAUGGGCAUGCGUGUCAUUAGCUAGUUGGUAAGGUAACGGCUUACCAAGGCGAAGAUGACUAGGGGUUCUGAGAGGAAGAUCCCCCACACUGGUACUGAGACACGGACCAGACUCCUACGGGAGGCAGCAGUGAGGAAUAUUGGUCAAUGGGUGAGAGCCUGAACCAGCCAUGCCGCGUGAAGGAAGACUGCCCUAUGGGUUGUAAACUUCUUUUCUGCAGGAAGAAAUCACUCUACGUGUAGGGUGUUGCCGGUACUGCAGGAAUAAGCAUCGGCUAACUCCGUGCCAGCAGCCGCGGUAAUACGGAGGAUGCAAGCGUUAUCCGGAUUUAUUGGGUUUAAAGGGUGCGUAGGCGGGCUUGUAAGUCAGUGGUGAAAUGCUGUGGCUUAACCAUAGAAUUGCCAUUGAAACUGCAAGUCUUGAGUACAGUUGAGGUGGGCGGAAUGAGUACUGUAGCGGUGAAAUGCCUAGAUAUUACUCAGAACUCCGAUUGCGUAGGCAGCUUGCUAAACUGUAACUGACGCUGAUGCACGAAAGCGUGGGGAGCGAACAGGAUUAGAUACCCUGGGUAGUCCACGCUGUAAACGAUGAGCACUGCUUGUUGGCAAUACACCGUCAGCGACUGAGCGAAAGUAUUAAGUGCUCCACCUGGGGAGUACGUCGGCAACGAUGAAACUCAAAGGAAUUGACGGGGGCCCGCACAAGCGGAGGAACAUGUGGUUUAAUUCGAUGAUACGCGAGGAACCUUACCUGGGCUUAAAUGUAGAGUGCAUUGCUUGGAAACAGGCAUUUUCUUCGGAACUCUUUACAAGGUGCUGCAUGGUUGUCGUCAGCUCGUGCCGUGAGGUGUCGGGUUAAGUCCCAUAACGAGCGCAACCCCUAUUGUUAGUUACCAGCACGUAAUGGUGGGGACUCUAGCAAGACUGCCGGUGUAAACCGUGAGGAAGGUGGGGAUGACGUCAAAUCAGCACGGCCCUUAUGUCCAGGGCUACACACGUGUUACAAUGGCAAGUACAAAGAGCAGCCACCUGGCGACAGGGCGCUAAUCUCAAAAGCUUGCCUCAGUUCGGAUCGAAGUCUGCAACUCGACUUCGUGAAGGUGGAUUCGCUAGUAAUCGCGCAUCAGCCAUGGCGCGGUGAAUACGUUCCCGGGCCUUGUACACACCGCCCGUCAAGCCAUGGAAGCCGGGGGUAC